GAUGCCCCCCAGGACAUGCUUUGCCCUCCAGGCUGCCAGGGCACUGCUGCCUCAUGUUCAAAUUGCCAUCCACCGGGAGCCCCUGGUCCUGUUCCAUGGCACUGCUUUCCAGCAUCUCAUUCCCCAGACAGUAUGAACACCCGGGGUCACCCUGUCCCAGAUGCAGAAUCCAGCACAUGGCAGAGGAGAUUCAGUCAUGCAGAGAUCCACAUAUCUAAUUCUGUGUCCCUUGCCACACAUAAUAACCCUCCUGAGGUUAUAAGGACCUAGGUAGGGGCUCUGCUGUCUCCCUGAGAAGGGUUUCAUGGCUUUUGCAGGUGCCAGGUCAUGUCCUGGGCAAAGGCUCUCCAAGCAGGUUUGGUUUGGCUCCCUUCCUUUCCCGAGGAUGAGUCUGCAUAAUGCUGAUCAGCCUCUGAUCCAGACCAGAGCAAUUUCAUGGACUCUGACAUCAGCCUCUGCUGGAUGCUGCUUAGCAACUGCCCCAAAAUUUGGGUGCUUUCAGCUGAGGUUGUUUGGGGAUUCUAUGGCAGAUGGCCUGUCACCCCAGCCUGUGGUCCUACUGUAUCCCCAGGCCACCUGAGGUCACAGCGAGAGGAAGAGGACAUGAGGCUAAGCCGAGCUGAGGGUCUGUGAUACCUUGCCCAGCACCUUCCUCAUACUGACUUGGAGCUGAGGGAGCUGGGGGUGUUUAGUCUGGGGGAAAGGAGGCUAAGGGAGGACCUUAUAUCUCCCUACAACUGCUUGAAAGAGGGUUGUAGCCAGGUAGGGAUAGGUCUCUCUCUUCUCCCAGGUAUCAAGUGAACAGACCAGAAGAAAUGGCCUCAAGUUACGCCAUGGGAGGUUAGAUUGUGUAUUAGGAAAAAAGUCUUCAGGAAAGGGUUGUAAGGCAUUGGAACAGGUUGUCCAGGGAAGUGGUUGAGUCACCAUUACUCAAAGUAUUUAAAGGAUGUGCAGAUGUAGCACUUGGGGACAUGGUUUAGAGAUGGACUUGGCAGUGCUGGAUUACUGGUUGGACUUGAUGAUCUUAAAGGUCUUUACCAACCUAAGUGAUUCUAUGAGCACAUCAUUGCUCUGUUUUGCUCUAUUUGAGUUGUCACACAAACUUUAUUUUAGGUGACAUCCUCCAUCUGCUGCAAUCCUCCCCACAGAGUGAGCAUGAGGAACAGGGUAAGAAAGCUGGAAUAUGAUUGUGACAAGGGAACCAUCCUGUGGAGAAAAAAUUCCCAAUCCUUCUUCCUUGCUUGUGUCCUCAGAACUGUAAAGCCUGAGCAGAUGGCAGUGCUUGGAGCAGGCUGGGGAACUGGGGGAAGAAAGACAGGAAUGAGGGUCAGGAAUCCAGUGUAUGGGAACUGGAGGAGGGAAGGGACACAUCAAGUGCCAAAGGAUGGGGAACCUAAUGGCUGUGCACAGCACGUUGCAGGGAGGGAAGAUGCUGGGCAGAGUAAGAGGAGUUCAUGCCAGCCAGAAGCAGACUCCCAUGGCCCUGGGGGAUGUCCCAUAUCUCACUCAUCUGUAGCAGGAUUAAGGGGAGGGCUGAGUCAGUCAAACCAUCACAAAGCAAUGGCAAGAAAUCAACUUUUUUUCAGCAGGGUAGUCAGUCUGAAAAAAUCUCAGCUUCUAACAAAUACUAACCAAAAUACGUAAAAGAAAAUGUUGCUGUGGUUUUGGUAGUUAGGGGGUAUUUUGGUAUUGCAAUAAAAAACAAACCAGAAAAUUAAAAAAGAGGUUAUAAAUGUUAUUUUUUUGAGCACAUUUUUCCCCUUUCUUAUGAAAACAUGAUAUUGCCUCAGGCCCCUCUAAAACAGGUGAGGAAAUAGCAUGCAAGGCAGAAAACUUGGGAAAUGUUGCAACUGGUUAUACAGAGAACAAGUAUUCUUCACAUCGGGUUUUGCACUAUGCAAUGCCAGUUUGAGAUUUCAGCAGAGUCCUCUGGGAAUUUUAAUCCAGUUUUGGAAAUAUAUAAAUAAUGGGUGAAUCAAGGCCAGAGGGAUCCUCGUUGCGCUGCAUUUUUGAUGUCUUCUGACUUGACUGUGAGAGGAAGGAUUUUGUAGAGUCCUCUAGGAGAGCUAGAAAGAGAGUGGGUUGUCUUUCAGAUUUGAUGUUAUAAUUUUCCACUGUAGGAGGUGAAAGGUAAACCUGCUCAGAGGUAGACAUAUGCAAUGGAGGAAAAUUAAAUCUGAAGAUCAACAUUUCCAGAGCGAGGUCCACACUACAGCUGAUAAAUUUUAAUAACCUGUAAGCUGAAAGGGAGCACAAACUCAGAAAAAUGAGGCAGUUCAUUCCCUCAAGAUAAAAAAAAACACAGAACAACUUCACACACACGUAAAACCCCCACAGAGUAGUAAAUCCCUCAGAUUCUGAUUGAAACUAUGUCUUUAAUCUACCAGGAUCUACUCAGAAUUAAGUAUCAAUCAGGGAAAGACUUCACAUACUGCUGUGAAUACUCAUAUCCUUCUGAAGAACUGCGGAGUGAAUGGGCCACAUAAAAUUUUCUACCAAAGACUGUUUCAUUUUCCCAUCCCAGCAUUCUGCUAUAAGUAGAGGUAUUUACCUUAUCUCCAGGGUAAGUUGCUUCUCUUUGUGCAUCACAGUUAAGUCAAAAGAUCUUAUGUUUAUGAAUAUUACACAGAAGUUAUUUGAAUGUCUAUUAAAAUGAAGAUAAAUAUGUUUAAAUGUGCUUCCAGAGUAGCUCUGUGAUUGCAGAAAUUAUUCUCCUGCAUGAGAAGCUUUGGAAACUGAAAGAUUACUUUUUUCUCUAGACUUAUUACAAGCUGAAUAUUGUUUGCUAGAGGCACUAUAUCUAGAUGUCUCUUGGCAUGGUCCAGUAGCAGUGGGAUGCAGAGAGACUGUGACUUAAGCAUGACACUAACUACUAUUUAUGUGUUGUGAGCUGGUCCCAACAAGUUUUGUGACCCUGGCUGCAUUGGUGGUUCAACAAUCCUGCAACAAGACCAGACAAAUGUCUAAAAAAUGAAAGGACUUUCUAUUUUCCAGAGUAAGGGGAGAAAUUGUGAUGAAGUUGACAAGAGUUGUCAGGAAACUUCCUGCAGUUUUUGGAGAAGUCCCUCAGUUAUGCAUGGUGAACUGUCACAUGUAAGGAUUCGGUCAACCCCAGUGCCGUGAUUGAUGGUGUGAGCAAAGCCUUGUUGGCGCCAUCUCGAAGGCAGGUGCCCAUUAAGAGAAGACAAGGAUGAAGGUGUCUUGCAGGACUUACAACUCCCCUAUCAGUGCUGGGCAGAGACUACUGCCACCACCCUCAGCACCUCAGAGGAAAAAGCUGCACAUGCCUUCAGGAAAGCAGGAAAAGCUGCAAAAUUUGGGGACAGAGCCCCACCUCGUGGAAAGGACCUCAGGCCCUGCUUACCAGAGGCUUUUGUGGGUUGGCUUGUGUGCCCCAGCAUGACCUCAUGCCUCACAUCCUGCCUGCUGCUACAUUAAUUAGUCUAAUAAGAGGUUUUAUCUCAGUGUCAGUCACAGUCACACUGCACACAGCACAGGAAUGGAGCGGUUCCUGGGUCUUCCUCUCCCACAGUUCAAGAUAUUCUGUGCAGCUCACGAAAACAAAGUGAACUUGCCCCCUUCCAAGGAUUCUGAUUUGGGAAAUGAAGUCUAGCUAUGCCAGACAGGGCUCACCCCUUGCACAGGUGCCAACAGUGGAGGCAGAAGUUUGCGUGCUCUCCCCAUGUCCAGCAUGGAUCACAGGAGUCUCCGCACUCAGGAUGCCCAUGAUGGCCUCUGAAUAUCCCUGCACCGUCCAUGGGCUGCAUUAGAGGUAAACCUUCCUUUCAGCCUCUGAAUAUCCCUGCACCGUCCAUGGGCUGCAUUAGAGGUACAGUCUGCAGAGAAGGGCACGGUUGAAUGGGGUCAAUCAGGAGAUGGGAGAUGUGGCAAUCUGGGAUUUCCCUUGUCUUCUGACUUCUACCCUGGUGGAAACUGAACCCCAGCAGUACUCUCACUCAAGCUCUUGACUCUACACUCAGCCCAGGCUGUCCAGUAAGAACUUGCUACCUCUGUCUAAGACACAGAUGUCUGCUGGCCAGGGGCCACAGCUGUUUACGUGAAAAACACGUAAGUGGACCAAAGGUAUACAAGCACAAGCAGCCUUCAAAGGAUACCUGCUUUACUGAGUAGAAGAGAACCAGAGAGACAGCUCAAGUACUGGAUCCCCCAAGCAGUUGUCCAUACUCUGAGCUCAUUCCCUGACUCCAAUCUGGAUGUCUUCAGCUAUCUGUUUUCAAGAGAAAUCUUGUACAAGAAGAACUAGCCCUGAGUGCUGUAAACACCCAGAGCAGCAUGACAGUGAGGCUGGGGUAUGUCUCCAGCAGUAUUUAGUCUCCAAAAUAACUCAUCUAGUCUCCACUAUGUUUAGCAGUGUGGACAAAGCUGUGCAGAAUCUAUAUCAUUAUAUGGAUAACUGAUCUAUCUUCAAGUCAUGAGCAUAUCCUUAGACUUCCACAGCAAAAAAAGGGAGUGAGAAGUAAGGAAGUAACAAAGUUGUUCAUGAUCCUGGAAAUGAAAUAGAGCUGAAAGUCCAUAAAGGAAUCAAGAAGUAAAAAUAAAUGUGAGGCUACCUGCAUAAAAGCUUGAGAAGCAGUGAUUCAGGCAACACCUUGAAUGUGUCCCCCAGAAACUGGGAGUUAAAAGGAUUUUGGGAAGUUCUCACUACCCAACAGGUAGUGAGACCCAGAGGAGCAUCUCAUCUGCAUGGAAAAGCCUUCCUCCUUCAUGGCUGUUUAAGGUUUUUUUCCCUCUCCAUUCUUUUAGUACCUUCCCUACAAACGAGAACAUAGUGAUGCUUUGCCCACCUCUUCAGGCUCCCUUUGAUGAGUCAGAACCACUGUGCAAUUUUGUGACUUAAAAGAUAAAGAGGGAAGGGCAAAGCUCUAUCUCUUGUUACUGUACUUAAAGCUGUAAUUGUGUGUAAGUACUUGCAAAUAUCAAGGCCAUCUUUGGAGACAAUGAUGUGUAAUGGCUCUUUGUCCAGUGGAACAUAAUGGCUAAAUCAAUGUAAAGUGUCAUGAAUUUCUUUUUUCUGCUCUCCCUGGGGCUGUUCUUUCCAGUUACGUAUGUUCAGCUUUGAUCUCUAGAAAAAUCAAUGAAGAUUUAGUUGUUCUCAAAAAACCCCAAGCUAAAAAUUUAAAGCAUUUUCUGUCAUCUUGGUGUGGAAUAUGUAAUCCCUCUCCCCCUCAGGGACCCUUCAGAGCACGUGACUCAGCAAGCUUUUGUGAAA